UACGUAGGGACCGAGCGUUGUCCGGAAUCAUUGGGCGUAAAGAGCGUGUAGGCGGCCUUUUAAGUCCUGCGUGAAAUCCUGCGGCUCAACCGCAGACGGUCGUGGGAAACUGGAAGGCUAGAGUGCGGGAGAGGAGAGUGGAAUUCCCGGUGUAGCGGUGAAAUGCGCAGAUAUCAGGAGGAACACCGGUGGCGAAGGCGGAUCUCUGGGCCUUACCUGACGCUGAGGCGCGAAAGCUAGGGGAGCAAACAGG
rnacentral:rRNA from 1 species